UCCCCGCCCCCUCCCCUCCUCCCCCGCCCGCCUCCCCUCAGCGGGACGGUGGCCGCGGCCUUCUCCCCGGAGGGCGCAGCUGGGGCCGCGGGCAAGGGGAGGGAGGGGGGCUGAGAAGGGCGCAGCCAGGCGGAGGGAGGGAGGGAGGGAGAGAGGGAGGGGAGAGGAUGGAGGAACAGGUUGUACCGCGAGCGCUGAAACUCCAAGGGCAACCAGAUGAGAAUAGCUCUGGAUUUCGGUUCACCUGGGAACCUGCGGAACGGAGAGUGGACUCAAGGGAAAUGAACUGCCUUGGGUUGGAGGGAAGAGGCUUUGAGCUAAGGUGGAAUAGGAGAGACUGGAGACAACAGUCCUCUCUACACUUCCCCUUUGGAGGGAUAAGGGUUCUCUCGUCUCUGGGAAGAAUUACAAUUCAAGACCCAUAGCUCGGCCACGCCCCGUGACUUCCGUAAUUCUUCCCCAAAACAGAUAAAGAUAUAUCUAUUUCUGUCUCUGUAUCUAUCUCCAGACUCCUGGAGCAGCGUCUCUCUUCCCAUCUUCCUACAAAUCCACCAAAAGAAACCAUUAACAGGGACGGAAGGAGAGAGAAAAGGAUCCCAGGAGAGCUGUUCCUGCUUGGUGAAGCUCAGAGCUGGCAGCAGCAGCAGGGCCGUCACUUGGACUGAUGAACUGUGGAAACAAGUGGGAUCCAGCAUGCACUCAAUCAAGGUGGCUCCAUCGUCAUUAUGGCCAUCCACAACGUCACCAUCAUCAGUUUGCUGUGUAGGAAGAGACAGUCGCCUUUCAGGCAGUGAUUCUAAGCAUGAAGAGUCUGGGGAAGCACAUCGACGUGAAAGGGAACGAGCAGGAAGUGCAUUUCUCCAUGGGGCCUGGGAGUCAGUGCUGACGCCCAGCCUGAAACGCACAGUCGCUUGCAGUUGUGGUGGAGGAGGAAGCCAUGGAUGCCAUCAAUGACGUGUGGCCAGGUCUGGAAACGAGGCAUCAGAGAAGCAGAAGGACGGGGACGUGAGGUGAUAAGGAAUUAGUCACAGGGAUCUGACCCUCCGCAGCUGUGGGAGCUGGUGAGACAGUCUCUUAAUAAACUUGUUGUCUUCAGAUCUGAUGCUGGAGUGCCGAGAGCCACACCUGUGUCUCCCGUUUCUGCUCCUAGAGAAUCUGAAGGCUGACAGAAGGUUUCAGACUUGCGUCUGGGUGCC
rnacentral:lncRNA from 1 species